AUCUGCGGCCAUAGAACGUUGAAAGCACCGCAUCCCGUCCGAUCUACGAAGUCUAAGCUACGUAUCGCCUAAUUAGUACUGCGGUGGGGGACUACGCAGAAAUCCUAGGUGCUGCAGUUC
rfam:Tstilago maydis 521 chromosome 7, whole genome shotgun sequence.